rnacentral:rRNA from 1 species
UACGUAGGGGGCAAGCGUUGUCCGGAUUUAUUGGGCGUAAAGAGCGUGUAGGCGGCCAGGUAGGUCGGUUGUGAAAACUCGAGGCUCAACCUCGAGAUGUCGACCGAAACCAUCUGGCUAGAGUCCGGAAGAGGAGAAUGGAAUUCCCGGUGUAGCGGUGAAAUGCGCAGAUAUCGGGAAGAACACCCGUGGCGAAGGCGGUUCUCUGGGACGGUACUGACGCUGAGACGCGAAAGCGUGGGGAGCAAACAGG